rnacentral:lncRNA from 1 species
CGUCUGAUUGAAACCUCAAUUAAUCAAGAUCAUCUCGCAAUCCUUCGACUAAUAAGCAAAUAUUCCAUGGAAAGAUUUCAAUCAAGACUCUCUCAAAGAGAAAGAGAAGAACUAGCCGUUUCGAAACUGGAAGAAGUCGAGCAUAACCCACUUUCCUUGGACUCGCUGGAGUUGCAACUCGCGAUACAUGAAAGCGGAAUUCCACCGUCGAGCGACGAGCUCUAGUAGACUCAGGAUUAUAAAUAAAUUAUUUCCACGCUCCUAUUCCAGCGGCGCACCAAGUCGAUCGGCAACCAGCUUGAUACAGAACUGUCCCCGCAAUCCGCGUCCAUCAGCGGGACGUAUUUAUUGCCGUCCUCGCGGCGACUCGAGAGGCGCGCGCUUAGAGAGAGCGAUUCGCUUCUCUCGAACGAGUCGCGACUUAAUGAGCUCGCGUGUGUGAUGUACGAACGCGCUUGUGUGCGCGUGUGUCGUGCGGCGGAGGGCAGACCGUUCGAUCAGGUAUGAGAUAUCAUUCACGGCGCGGAGCGAAGCGGAAGCCUCGAACUCGAUUCGAUCCUGGCAAAUUAAUGCCGCUCGAGAUAUCUCAUUCAGACGUACUUACCCGGCAUGCUCGCCGAGCCACGCCGUCUGCGUGUACACCAACACUCGAGCAAGCGCAAUAACUGGCCGCGAGCACGGAGUUUCCAACUCUCUGUAUCCGUCAUGAGUCAUCUAUCAGGGCCCGCGUCGAUACACGGCCGCCAAUUUAUGACGAGAAUUUCUGUUAUGCGAAACGUGUACAUACGAUGGAAGACUUUCGAACGAGCAUCACGAGACAGAAUUCCCGCUUUUCACCCUCCACGCCGUACCGUAUAUCUCGCGCGCGAGAUCCUCGAGCACGGUGUUAAUGGAAAUUAUAUUCCUCCGGAGUUCGAUUCGAUCCCGAUGUCCGACGCCGGAAUUUUAUGCGCGCUCGUAAAAUCCCGAUUCCAUCGGCUCGAGAAUGUGGUGGUUCUCGCGAGAAUUUCAAAGCCAGGGGGAACGACACGUUCGAUUCUUUCUUAGGCGCGACACGAGCCACUACCCAUCGGAGAAAUAUGUUGAGGGAGCAAUUCCAGGCUCGAUAUCGAACGGGAGGGUAAUUAUCGCUUCGAAAAUAGAGGUGAAAAAAGGUGUACACGUUUGGACGUAUGCUUGAUUAUCUCGGAUCCGUACGGGAGUAUUUCGAGUGGUGUAUACACCCGCGCCACUUGAACGUUUCGACGUGUAAAUGCGAAGCUCGAAAGGGUUGGAGGCAAGGGGUCACGAGGACACGGCAAUCGCCACGAGCUCCACUCUGUGUACACUAAUUUCCGGCCUGUUUGAUAGAUCUUGGGUGAUUGUUAAUUAUGUUUAGAGAACCGAACCGUUUCGAGAAUCUCGAGGACGUCUGCUCGUGAGACCCGGUUGACUCGAUACACUUCAAAGCGGUAUUAAAUCUACCGGCCACCGUCCCUAACUCCGUCUCUCCCUCAUCUUCCUCCCAUCUACGUCUUCGUCCGUCUUCACGUCGGAGUAAAUUAGACAAAUACCAUUUAGACGCAAACGAUGGCACGGCAAAUGUUAAACCGUCCCUGCUACUAUUUGUUGAGUCACCCUUCUCUCUCUCUCUCUCUCUCUCUCUCUCUUUCUCUCUCUAUCUAUCUCUCUCUUUACCUCUUGGAUUCGGCACACGUAACAUCGGGAAUGCCGGAGGUAAGUUUGAUACAUGGGCACACCCCGAGCGAGCAAUUGGAGAGGAUUCGUUUCUGGACUAUAGAGCACGCCGUGGCUACGAUUAACUGGAUACGCUUGUUGGUUCGGUAACGCGAUUCUCUUGGCCUGGUUUAAGGAAAAUUUCAACUCGCGAUUCACUCGCUGCGUUGCGUUUUCCUGUGUUUCCGUGGUACGAUUCGUUAAGGGUAAAUUGGGGCAACACGGGCUUUCGGUAUCUCUGCUCUUUUGAAGCAGGGAGAUCUCGAUGUUUGGUACCAUUAUCGCGAGUUCAGCUCUGUUAAUUUUCACGAGAUUCUUGUUCCAAAUGGAAGUGCGUUAUUUACGGCCCAUAAUGGAAGGAGGACGAUUAAGGUUAGAAUAAAGCGAAACAGUUGGAAGAAGUGGAAACGAGGAUUAUAAAUUAUCGAGUUUCAGUACUGGUUUUGGAAUCCUUAUUUUUACGCUUGAUUUUAAAGAAAAACGAGUUUUGCCGGAACGAUAUCGAACGACUCGUGAUAUCGAAUUAACGUUGGUAAUAGUAACCAGUGUAUUAUCGACGAAAGAACAGAGUUGUCUCUCUCGGUAGAAGAUUUAUAUGCGUUAACGUUUCGCUGCACAUUAUUUUACUUUCUAACAUUUAUUAUUCCCAACGCGUGAUGUAAAAAUGGAAUGAUAGGUCCUCCGCGUGAACUGGUCGGUCGCCAUGAGAGGGCAAGAGAGCGAUUCGUGAAACUUUGAUCUCGCUUGAAUUUCAAUCUCGCGAGGAGUGUUAUUACCACGUAGGCAGUCGAAAAGAGGUGGAAGAAUGCGGCGAACGCGAUAUUACGCGCUUAAACGUGGGUGCUACUUCGGUGUAAUUUCCUCGACACUUAGACCGUUGAUGGGAGGCCACGAGCGGUUAAAUAAUUACGAAACAAUGAUAUUCGGAUUUCGUAAACAUCUCUCUGUGGAUCAACCGUCCGAGUUGCAACGAAUAAUAAUUUUCCAAAGAAUAAUUUUCGAAACGAGCGUGAAAAUCGUUGGACAAAAGAACGGCCCUCCCUCUCCCUCUCCUCUAUUAAACCGAUGACGAAGAGGAGUGGCUGUGCAAUUUAGUGAAAAUCGAUUAUGCCUUAACACGAGUGAUUCACGAUUCUUUUAGCAUCUGCUUGUGCGCGAAAAUUUAAUACAUCAAUUUUCAAACUUAAAUCUCCAUUUAAUUUUUCAAUUUCCAUUUCUGAACUUUUAAUUCUUUAAAAUAGUUUCUUUCAACGAGAAUAUGUUAGAGGUUAAAAGUUGUACUGUAAGUAUCUUGUUAAAAAAGUUAUAGGCUGUUUUCUCUGUAAACUUAGAGACAGUGAGAUUAUUAGGACUUUUAACGAUUACCCUUUCCUUAUCGUAACAAAGUCUUGAGUACUUGUCUUAAGCAAAAGAAAGAUCUACAAUAAAUCAAUCCCUUACUUAUUAUCCGUAAAAAUAAAAUUAUUAUAAAUUCAUUUGCUCGCGGAAUACGAUAAAUUGAUUAUAUUAUAAUCAACGAUCGCUGCAAACUGAUAAGCCACCGAUAUUAUCGAGUUCGAUGACUCCAUCCACCUGGUUAUACCUCGAUCUCGUAAAGUUUCACGAGGGAAAUGGUGGCCGUGUCUGUUCACAAGGGAAUUACUGUCAUCGGGUGGGCGAAAAUUAUUACCUAAAAAAAAAAAAAAAAGAAAAAAAAUAAUAAAUAAAUAAAUAAAUAAAAGAACACGAGGAUACAAGAAGACCGUUGUUACUGGUCGAACGUAAGUGCUAUUGCAAUGGGUGACAUUCCCAGAGCAGUGCAGCCGGUUUUAUUAGCAGCGAACGUUUACGGGAUAUUUUCUAGCGAUCCGUUCGCGAGUAAACGGCGAGAUGGUGGAAAAACGAGCAGUGAUCGAGAAAAAAGGGACACACGAUGGGUAUCUAGAAGGGAAGAGCGUCGUGGAAUUUCGCGUUUUUGAACGACCAAGGCUUGGAAUGCUUGCCAAGAUAUCCGCAAUGAAGCGCACUGUGAUUCAUUGAAUUUCGUGGAGGCGUUAUCGUGGUUGAAGGAAAAAAAUAAAAAAUAAAAAAAAUAAAAAAAAAAAGAAAAAAAGAGAGAGAACACGAUGGAAAGAGAUGAGAAACUGGAAUAAAAUAUUUUGACGCGAUGCUAUUCAUUCCGUGGUCGUUCCGAAUAUUUUACUCGCGAGGGAUCGGGUGCAGGAGUCGAAGUGAAUAUUUCAUCGCCGCAAUAUUACCCAUUUCUACAAUCUCCUUGCUGCGUUUAGGAACAUUCCGUUUUAACGAGAUGCUUCUUUCUCCAUUGUAUCAGACAGGUUCGUUUGAACGCAUGCAUUCUUCAAAUUCCUCCAACUUCCAUAAUUCAAGUUGCACUAUCAUGAUGUUAUUUCCAUAUCUCCCCGGAUCAAAAAUGGGAGGAAUAAGCGCAGGAAUAUGAAGUAACCUUCUCUCCUUAUUACUGCCGAGUAACCGAGUUUCAGGUCGAGCGAAUCAAUCCAACGUAUUCCAAGAUUUUGUUCAAAAAUUACAGAA